rnacentral:rRNA from 1 species
AUGGUAAAUCCGGCCGACGUGCUCGGCCUCACACGGGGCUACAAGCUGGAGCCUCUCGACGAGGAGGCGGUGGAAUACUACCUGCUCCGUCGACUCCUUGGCCAGGAGCUCCCGCUGGAGGGCAUCAUCCUCGAGGACGAUCCGCUGAGUGCGCCGCCAUGGGAGCUCUUGAACAAACACGAGCGGGAGGACGAUGCUUUCUUCUUUGCCUACGGGCAAACCAUCGACAGCAAGGAGAGUCGGAACAAGCGGACCUGCGCGGGCGGCGGGUGCUGGGAAGGGCAGAAGGUCGUCGUGGAUGACAAGGAGCUCAUCGUCCCCGACAGCGGCAUGGAGAUCACCUGGAAAAAGUACCAGCUCAACUUCCACAAGGACGGCGAGAAAGGCAGCACGGGGUGGGUCAUGCACGAGUACUCGGUCACAGCCCCGCCCGAUCUGGCCUCGUCGUCGCUCAGGCUGUAUCGCAUUUUGUUCAGUGGCCACGGCAAGAAGCGCAAGAGGGAGCCCGAUGAUUACGGCCACGACGACAGUGGAGAGCGCGCGGCCACCCGGCAAGCCAUAGCAGAAGAGUCCGAUCAGAUUCCGGCGUCGCACUCUGUUUCCCCUCAGUAUCAGGACUGCUACGGUAAUGCAGCGAACGCGACAGAGGAUCAUCACCUGCUGGGUUCUUCCCAAGACCUCGGAGUAGGGCCUGCCGCGUCGACAUCAGAUCAAGAGAUUCAAGACGCCCAAGCUGGCGUGUUGUAUGAGUUCGCCGGUGCAGAUGGUGGUGUUGCGCCGGUGGCAGGAACGCUACCGUCCUCCAGCGCGAUGGACGAGUCCUUCUUAGAUAUCGAGCUGCCAGAGAACAUCAACUUCGACGAGUUCUUUGCCUUUGACGAGGUGUGCGGUUUGGAGGGCCACCUCGACGGUCAGUUCUCCGGCGCCGGCAUGCAUACGCAAUUGCCCGGGAUGCAGCCCAGGCCGAAUCCUUACUACAUGAGUUGCUAA